ensembl:lncRNA
AACCUGACAGAUAACUAUGUCUACGGCAGACAGGAUUUCAGAGAAUACAAACUUGGUUUCAUUUAAAGUUGUGUAACAGUCAAAACCCUGUGUGGAUCAGGAUAAAACUCUCUCUGGCUUUACUUUGGACGGUCUGUGUGUCUUUGGAGGAACCACAGGUAUUUCAUGCUGGCUCUACGCUUAACAACAAGCUGUGUGCGUACAGGGGGAAAUUAAUUUACCAGAAAGAGAAGAAGAGAAGACAAACCAUUGAGUCAGAAGAAACCCUUCCUGCUAAACAGACAAGCAAGAAUAGUUAGUUUUCCUGCCGGAACAGGAUCUGGCACCUCAGAUUUGACUUUGUUUGUUUCGGCACCUAUUUACCCGGAUCCAGUACCUCUCAUGAUUUAUUCCAUUUUUCACUGGUCGUACUGUAAACAUUUUAAU